GGAGCCAGGCUGCAAGGGCGGCCCCUCUGCACCCACUGCCCCCAGCAUAAACAUCAAAGAAUCCCUGAAAAGUCAGGAGGAGCCAGGCUGCAAGGGCGGCCCCUCUGCACCCACUGCCCCCAGCAUAAACAUCGAAGAAUUCCUGAAAAGUCAGGAAUAUCUCUGUCAUCUGUGUUCUGUUUCUGUUUCAUUUUCAGCCUGUGUAUAGCAGAAUGUAUAAGCAUAAAAUUCCAUUAUAGAUUUAGGGACCUUUGGAGGGGGGCGUCCUACUCAUAAUCCCCUGGUAAAAUCCCGGGCAGGGACAGCCCGUGUAUUACCUGAGGAUCAACAUGAAGCUGUCUUAGGGGGAAAACAAAUAGCUCGACUAUGGAAAACUAAAACAGGAUGGUGGAAUCCUGGUAUUUACCGAGGCCCUUUUGUGAUUAAACCACCACCCACACAUGAUCCCAUAAAAGUGGAAAAACAAAAGGCAGUGAGUUCUCUCAGCCAAUUUCUCAGCCAAUUACAGGUCAACCUUCUCGUCUACCCCGCUCACUGCUGUGCUUGACUGGUCUUUGGGUAUAGAGAUUGGGCUAAUUGUCCUUGGCAUAAUCGUGGACAAUAUGACGUAACCCAAAGUGGCUGGACUUCAAGAACUUGACCACCCUGGACAAGAUGGACAAAGCCUAUGUGGCAAUGGUUUUGCAAAAAGAUUAAUUGUUAUAAAAACUGUGGAAGGUAUUGCAAGAUUAAGCAUAAGUGUAAAGCAGUGUGAAGUCAAUUGUUACUCUAAAUCAACUAAACAAAAGCUCAUUGUAUUUGUGUGCGCACGCAGAACUGUACUAUGUGUCACUUGGAAAAUUAUGUCUCUGGGAAAUGAUGUUUAUGAUUAUAUCUUGUACUGCCCCUUUAUUGAUCAUGCGAUGUUAUGCUUUUGUAAGCUUAUGAUAUAAAAGACCAUGUAAAAAAUAAAGAGCAGAGCCUUCUUCUUCUGCAGAAUGAAAAUAUAAGACACUCUACCGCUCGUUCUUUUUUCGCCGAACUCUACCCCUCCUCUGGUAACCCUGUUCAUUGCUGAGGCUGGCCCCCGGCAACUGGCGCCCGAACAGGGACCUGAAGGUAAGCAACGUCGUCUCGGGGUAGAUAGGGCUGUUGCCUAGAGCUAAAUAAGAAAGGAGAAAAGCUCCCUUUAGCCACCCCGUCGUUAGAGAGGACGGGGAUAGGAAAGGAAAGAUAGGCAAAACAUAUGAGAAGUUGUUAGACCCCUGUAUAAGCAAGAGAAUACUAGAAAAACACUAUGGGACAAACAUCCUCUGCAGAAAGGAAACUGUUUAUUGAUAUCAUCACGUGUAUGCUCAAAAAAAGGGGAACCGCAGUGACUAGAAGCCAAGUAGCUCGGUUUUUACAUUUUGUUCAGGAACAAUGCCCCUGGUUCCCAGAGGGAGGCUCAGUUAAUUUGGACAUAUGGAAAGCUGUGGGAGAACAGCUACAAAAAUAUUAUACUAGAUGUGGUCCUGAGGGGGUGCCUGUUGAUGCUUUUGCAUUAUGGAUGCUUAUCAGAGAUACUCUUGACCCAACUCCCGAUUCUGUUAAAGCAUUCCAAGUACUAGACAAUCCUGACUCUGACCCCACUUUAGAGGAGGAAGAAACACCUCUGCUUCAGAAACAUCCUUCUGUAGUGUCUACCCCUUCAGCCCCCUCCUUUGUUGGUCUAUCUAAUCCAAUCACGAAUGACACUCUGAGCCCGGAGGAGCAAGUCGAUCUAGAGGAGGAGGCUGCUAGAUAUUAUCAAGAUGAGGAUAUUGUUCUUCCUUUACGAAAGUUGCAAAUUGAGUCACAGCCUCCAAAGUAUGAGGUUAAAUCAUUGACCUUUACUCCUCGAAAUAGAGUACCUUUACCUCCCCCACCUCCUUCUCUGGCAGGAAAAUCAAAAAUCAAAGCAGCCUUAAAACAAGGCUUGUCUGAGGGGGACGUUACCCUCCCUUUGUGCUUUCCAGUACAUUAUAGCGGGGAAUUUGAUGAGGAUGCAGAAUGGACUCCUCUUUCUUAUAAAUUCCUCAAGGAGGUUAAAAAUGCCUGCAAAGAAUAUGGACCCCUGUCUCCAUACACAUUGUCGUUAAUAGAUAUUCUGUCAACCAGCUGGAUGACUCCUUAUGAUUGGUAUCAGCUGGCAAAAACCUGCUUACCAGGGGGUAGUUUCUUGUUAUGGAAAAUGGAAAAGACCUGACCCAUUAAUCUCUUGUGGAAGAGGCUAUGCUUGUGUUUUCCCACAGGACGAAACUUCCCCUUUGUGGAUACCCGACAGACUCAUCAGACAUGCAAGACCCAAAAACCACCAAAAUUCCUCCAACACUUCCCCCCUCACUGCUCACAAACCUAACACCUCCCACGACUCUUCUGAGAAAUCUGUCUCUUGAAAAUGCUCCAUCUACACCCCCACCUUCGCCUGUCUCUAGUUCUCCCUCCUCUUCAUCUUCUACUCCACCCCUUCUCACUGACUUUAUACAACCCUCUACAAACCUCAACAACUCUUCAUCUCGAGACAAAGUGCGGUGGAGAAGCCGGAGACAUACUCCCUAUUCAAGAACCCAUCAAACCAUUGCGGCUGAGCCCCCAACUUGGGGCCAACUCAAAAAACUUACUCAUCUGGCUCACAUCUUAACCGUGGAUCAACAUAUUCCCGUAAAUGCGGGUACUCUUUUUGUGGCAAUGCUCGCUAUCAUUUCCUGUCAGUCAUCUUCCGAAUCUUAAAUCAAGCUAUCCAAAAGGUGGCUUCAGAUCUUCAUCUAGCGAAAUUAAAAAAUAAAAAAGGGGGAGAUGCUGGGAGCCAGGCUGCAAGGGCGGCCCCUCUGCACCCACUGCCCCCAGCAUAAACAUCAAAGAAUCCCUGAAAAGUCAGGAGGAGCCAGGCUGCAAGGGCGGCCCCUCUGCACCCACUGCCCCCAGCAUAAACAUCGAAGAAUUCCUGAAAAGUCAGGAAUAUCUCUGUCAUCUGUGUUCUGUUUCUGUUUCAUUUUCAGCCUGUGUAUAGCAGAAUGUAUAAGCAUAAAAUUCCAUUAUAGAUUUAGGGACCUUUGGAGGGGGGCGUCCUACUCAUAAUCCCCUGGUAAAAUCCCGGGCAGGGACAGCCCGUGUAUUACCUGAGGAUCAACAUGAAGCUGUCUUAGGGGGAAAACAAAUAGCUCGACUAUGGAAAACUAAAACAGGAUGGUGGAAUCCUGGUAUUUACCGAGGCCCUUUUGUGAUUAAACCACCACCCACACAUGAUCCCAUAAAAGUGGAAAAACAAAAGGCAGUGAGUUCUCUCAGCCAAUUUCUCAGCCAAUUACAGGUCAACCUUCUCGUCUACCCCGCUCACUGCUGUGCUUGACUGGUCUUUGGGUAUAGAGAUUGGGCUAAUUGUCCUUGGCAUAAUCGUGGACAAUAUGACGUAACCCAAAGUGGCUGGACUUCAAGAACUUGACCACCCUGGACAAGAUGGACAAAGCCUAUGUGGCAAUGGUUUUGCAAAAAGAUUAAUUGUUAUAAAAACUGUGGAAGGUAUUGCAAGAUUAAGCAUAAGUGUAAAGCAGUGUGAAGUCAAUUGUUACUCUAAAUCAACUAAACAAAAGCUCAUUGUAUUUGUGUGCGCACGCAGAACUGUACUAUGUGUCACUUGGAAAAUUAUGUCUCUGGGAAAUGAUGUUUAUGAUUAUAUCUUGUACUGCCCCUUUAUUGAUCAUGCGAUGUUAUGCUUUUGUAAGCUUAUGAUAUAAAAGACCAUGUAAAAAAUAAAGAGCAGAGCCUUCUUCUUCUGCAGAAUGAAAAUAUAA